rnacentral:tmRNA from 2 species
GGGGAUGUUUUCGGAUUCGACGGGUAUAGGUUGAAUCUUAAUUGCACUUCGAAGGUUGCGUCUUCGUAAAAACGCUCAGUUUUAAAUUAUAACUGCAAACAAUAAUUCAAAAGCUUACGCAUACGCUGCCUAACCGGUAAGCAUGCGUAAAUCCGGCCAGGUUCGUCCAUGACUUGUUACCGGGUUUCAUAUUGAGUGGACUUACGUUACUAAUUUCCGUUUGUAAUUAGUAAAAGAGAAUCAUCAAGCUAGUUUGUUAUGUGUGCCUUGAUUAAUGGCGUUUUAACAAGCGAAUUUUAAAUAAUUGAUCUAUGAGUGUAGAGAUUAGGAUGGCAAUAUGCUCGGACGUGGGUUCAAUUCCCACCAUCUCCAU